UCUUAUGGAUCAGCAAAGGAAGUUGUUUCAUGAGAUGGAAUCUACUCCUGGUGAAGACCCUGAGAA
rnacentral:pre_miRNA from 1 species